UCUACUUUACCGACUCCAUUUAUUACUUUAUUCUUCAUUCAUUUGAGUCUUCAAUGAAUGUUCCUUGGAAGUUGCAUCAUUUUUGAAUAUUUUUUUUUUGGUUGGAUGAUGUACCUAGCUCCUUGGUACUUGUUUAUUCUUUUCAGUUGCUGCAAUUUAGUUUUUCUUUUGGUGUUGUUGUCAUCCUGCACAAAAACCAAAGUCAUCAUUAAAACUAUCCCUCAACAUCUUCUCUUUUUUUAUGAUGAUGAAUUUUAAAUGCAGUACACUUUCCUUUCUAAUUUCCUUGAGUUUUCUGCUUGUUUAGUAACUCUAUUUUGAGUUUAGUGUCUCUCCCCUUGAGUCGACUGCUUUGAAGGAUAGCAUACUCCCCCUGAUAU
rnacentral:lncRNA from 1 species